UACGUAGGGUGCAAGCGUUGUCCGGAUUUACUGGGCGUAAAGAGCGUGUAGGCGGCCAAACAGGUCCGUUGUGAAAACUGGAGGCUUAACCUCCAGACGUCGACGGAAACCGUGUGGCUAGAGUCCGGAAGAGGAGAGUGGAAUUCCUGGUGUAGCGGUGAAAUGCGCAGAUAUCAGGAAGAAUACCAAUGGCGAAGGCAGCUCUCUGGGACGGUACUGACGCUGAGACGCGAAAGCGUGGGGAGCGAACAGG
rnacentral:rRNA from 1 species